rnacentral:rRNA from 1 species
AGGAGCAAAGCAGGGGAACUUCGGUCCUUGCGCUAUCGGAUGAACCCAUAUGGGAUUAGCUAGUUGGUGAGGUAAUGGCUCACCAAGGCGACGAUCUCUAGCUGGUCUGAGAGGAUGAUCAGCCACACUGGGACUGAGACACGGCCCAGACUCCUACGGGAGGCAGCAGUGGGGAAUAUUGCACAAUGGGCGCAAGCCUGAUGCAGCCAUGCCGCGUGUAUGAAGAAGGCCCUAGGGUUGUAAAGUACUUUCAGUCGGGAGGAAGGCGUUGAUGCUAAUAUCAUCA